AGAGUCAAGGCAACUAUGCCUUGUUUCUCGAGCACCCUUAUCUUCUGUCCAUUUUCUCAUUCCUCUGCUCUGCGCUCUUCUCAUUUUAUCGCCUGAUGAACCAUCAAAGAACAAACCCUAGACAUCUACUGAAACCAUUAAAGAAGAAAAAUGGUUCUCUAUCAGUGCUUCUCUAUAAACCCUUUCAUCUACAAUCCAGUAAACCAAAUCAAUCUCUUCUCCUAACAGAUCCAUUCUAGGUCGUCUUCUUCUUUUAAGGGUUUUGUAGUGAACAACUUAUCUUCAAUCGGUCGGGUGGUGAUGUCAAUUAUGUUGAUAUUAUUCGAGGUGAUCCCGGUGGUUAUGGCGUAAUAGUUAGAAUGAUUAAAGGUUAAAUCCAACUUUGGUUAUGAGGUCAAUUAUCCUAAUAGCGAUCCCUGAAGAAUAGAUGAUGAUCAACAUCUGUAUGUAUGAUGAUAUCUGAUUCAAAAAUGAGAAGAAUGCUAGCCCAGAUUGACCUAAGAUUCAACCCUGUGAAGCUUGUCUAUUGAGAAUAUCUUCUAUUGAAAAGCUUAUAAUUUUUCCUUCUGAUCAGUUUCUCAAGUUGUACUGGGAAUUUCAUGGGGCACCUUAUCUAUGGGGAGUAUUUAGAAAGACAAUUGUUCAUGUUUAAUGCCUCCUCCAUGUUCAUGUAAGCCCCCGUGGUGACUCUAAUGUUGGUAUUUGUAGGUGCUUUCCUGGGAAGUGAAGAAUGUUUACCAAGUGUUAAGAUCUCAAGUGUUUGAUAUUCUUUUCUAUUGCUCUCGUUGUUUUUGAAGUUUUCGUUUGUGUGAACUUUCUUAUACGUUUUCCUUUUGAUCUGUUAUAGGUAACAGUUUCUGAGCUGAAAUAGUGAAGAACUGAAGUAGUGAUGAUUAAUCAACUUGCAGUUAUAGAAUCUUCUGUUGUGAUGGGUAAUUAAGGGAGGAUAAGGCUCCUCGCAUAUAUACUUUAUGGCAUGCUUGUUGUGUUUGUAGAAAAUUUCCAUUAACAUUGGUCACUGUAUACAAAAAUUGCAGCUAUUACAUUCGCUUGCUAUUUGAGGCGAUUGUAUUUGACCCUUACAUUUGCGGUCACCUUGUUAACGUUACGUUCAAUCUGACCGCGAAUUUGAAAUAAGUGAACUAAGUAGCCUUGAUUAUUCAGUUUAAUUGUGUUUUGCAAGUUUUCUUUCAUUGUACAAGAACCAAUGGCUACAUGAUACAUUGUGCCCACCUUUUGUGCUGUUCAGGGGAUGCUUUUCACCUUUAUAUCAGUUCCUAAUGUUUAGCGAUUGAAAGAAUUAUUCAUUUAUUUGUACUUUCCAUGUAAUUUCUUAUAAAUUCACAACACUUUUGAGUUGAAUUGCCGAUCUGGGUGUUAUAUGGCUUAUUAUUUGGUAUUUAAUUGGGGGUUUUUGAUCCCACGAAUUUGAAUACCACAUUCCAGAAAGUGAUGAAAGAGCACUACAUGGAGAACUACAAUACUUACUCUGUUCUAAUACUUAUUCAAAAUAGCUAGUUGAAUUGCCACUGGAAUCCUUAAUAGAACUACAAUAUGGAGUUUGAAAACCUGUGUUUUCGUGUAUGUGUAGGUUCAGGUUGGGAUAAUAUUUCUGAUUAGUUUACAUCCCCAUCUUUGUAAGCUCUAUGACCUUACGAAGAUCUCUUUAUAUAUGCUACUCUAUAUGCAUUUAUGUCUUGUUAUAUAUACAUUUUGUAUACUUAUACACAUUGUGAAGUCCUAAUAGCUUCUGUCAUUGUGAAGUAUUGUAUGCAACCUUACUAAUUGAUAUACAAGUGGCUAGUAUAGGCAAUAUGUUAUUGCCAUCUCUUGACAUGAUUCUUACUCUGUUCUUUCCCCUUUUGUCUCUGUCUUAGUGUCUUGUGCUAUUGUUUUUAUUUAAUAUCUUACUGAUAUUGGUUUUCUGAUGGUUCUGAUCCUUAGGCUAUGAAGUCUUAUUUCUGUCUACAAAUUUCUGAUGGUUCAAUCCAUCAAUUAGAAUAAGAGGUUGCUAUGUUCAUCCCAAUUGCAGAGAAGUGCUACAAAAUAGCAAGGGUCAACUAAGAACUACGCUAUUUCACUUCAUGAGGAAAUACAACUAUAUUAAUUAUUAAGCUUAAUAAUCGAUUAUUGUCGUUUCUAUCAAAUACCUGGUCGUUCUAAUAAGGUACUUGAUCUUAGAUCGCUGACGUUGUCGAGACUGAAACUACAAAUUCAUCAAGUAUCUGAUCAGCUAGUUGACAACAACGCUCAGGAAGCUUUACCUGCUAUAGCGGGUUAUAGUCUGGUAAGAAUUUUAACACUUCUACAGUCUGGUAAGCAUUUUAACACUUCUAUGGAAGAUGUGUUGCUUCCCUAAGAUCCAUAGUUCUGUUGGUUUUGCAUCUAAUAAUUUAACCGUUGCUCCUUAAUUCUGUAAUGCCUUUGCAAAUCAAGUAGGGAAGUAGCCUUCUUCUUAUAGGUGGACAGUCAAAAGAGUUAUCGGAUGUCAUAAUUGGCAGCAGUGUCUCACUAUACCUACCUCACUUGCAUAUUAUCAGACUAGUGCAUUGCCGAAAGUAAGAUUCUUACUUCCAUUUCCUCAAUUUUGCUAGAGGUUCUUUCCCGUUCCCUUUCCUGAACAUCCAUGUUUUCCCUACAUAUUUGCUAAUUUGAGUUUAUGACCAACUCUGCAUCCAUCUAUUACCAUUUCUAAUUGCGCCGCUCAUCAUUGCAUUAACGUUAAAUCAAACGCACUCCAGGUUCGUCUGGUGUAAGCUACCAUAUUUCUUAUGUUCUCCUCUUACGAAGUUUUAGAAAGUUUGGGCUAAGAAGUUGGUGCUGCAAAAGCAGGAACCCUGGUGUUUAAAUGCAAUUGUUUGCCUGAAGUUGACCUUACUGGUUGCGAAGCUCUGAUGAAUUCUAUUUGUGAAGUUUUUAGUGAUGAGGGUGGUUGCCCGGUGCUCAAGUCACUGGCCCUCUAGACCUCUACAACUGCGAGGUUUGUGAACUAGGUUGGUAUUCGGUCUCAUAACUUACGUAUAUGCCCUAAAUUCGAGGAACCUGACACUGUGAUGCUAGAAUUGAAGGGAUGUGGUGUUCUAUUCGAAGCAUCAAUCGUUGUCCUCGUCUGAUAGCGUUAGAUUCUUCUUUUUGUGGCAAAACCUAAAAGAUGACUACUGCCACAAGUGCUACAUGGCCUUUAUGAUUUUGAUGUCCUGCCGAACUUUCUCGUUGAUGGCCUGUCUUUAGUGAAUGAAGGCAUAAAUGGUGAAGUCUUGUUGACCCCUUCUGCAGUGUCUUCAGUAAACGAAGGCAUAGAUGCUGAAGUUUUGCCUUCAACUUUUUGUUGAAGUUUUUCGGUAGCUAAGCUUGUAAUAAAAACAUAAACUUAAGACAGGAACUUGUAUUUUAGAUAGUCGAUGAUGUAAACUGUUAGCACUUUUUAGUACAAAUUCAGUUUUAAAGUUGCCAUCAAUUUAAGUUUUUGAUUAAUACAA